UACGUAGGCAGCGAGCGUUGUUCGGAAUUACUGGGCGUAAAGAGUGUGUAGGCGGUGCUCUAAGUUCGGUGUGAAAUCUCCUGGCUUAACUGGGAGGGUGCGCCGGAAACUGGGGUGCUCGAGCGUGGGAGAGGAAAGUGGAAUUCCUGGUGUAGCGGUGAAAUGCGUAGAUAUCAGGAGGAACACCGGUGGCGAAGGCGGAUCUCUGGGCCAUUACUGACGCUGAGGAGCGAAAGCGUGGGGAGCGAACAGG
rnacentral:rRNA from 1 species